rnacentral:rRNA from 1 species
UGGGGAAUUUUGGACAAUGGAGGAAACCCUGAUCCAGCCAUCCCGCGUGUGCGAUGAAGGCCUUCGGGUUGUAAAGCACUUUUGGCAGGAAAGAAACGUCAUGGGUUAAUACCCCGUGAAACUGACGGUACCUGCAGAAUAAGCACCGGCUAACUACGUGCCAGCAGCCGCGGUAAUACGUAGGGUGCAAGCGUUAAUCGGAAUUACUGGGCGUAAAGCGUGCGCAGGCGGUUCGGAAAGAAAGAUGUGAAAUCCCAGAGCUCAACUUUGGAACUGCAUUUGUAACUACCGGGCUAGAGUGUGUCAGAGGGAGGUGGAAUUCCGCGUGUAGCAGUGAGAUGCGUAGAUAUGCGGAGGAACACCGAUGGCGAAGGCAGCCUCCUGGGAUAACACUGACGCUCAUGCACGAAAGCGUGGGGAGCAAACAGG